rnacentral:rRNA from 1 species
UGGGGAAUCUUGCACAAUGGGGGCAACCCUGAUGCAGCGACGCCGCGUGAGCGAUGAAGCCCUUCGGGUGUAAAGCUCUUUCGGCAGGGAAGAUUAUGACGGUACCUGCAGAAGCAGCUGCGGCUAACUACGUGCCAGCAGCCGCGGUAAUACGUAGGCAGCAAGCGUUGUUCGGAGUUACUGGGCGUAAAGGGUGUGUAGGCGGUCUUCUAAGUCUGGUGUGAAAUCUCCCGGCUCAACUGGGAGGGUGCGCCGAAAACUGGAAGGCUAGAGUGCGGGAUGGGAGAGUGGAAUUCCUGGUGUAGCGGUGAAAUGCGUAGAUAUCAGGAGGAACACCUGUGGUGUAGACGGCUCUCUGGACCGCAACUGACGCUGAGACACGAAAAGCGUGGGUAGCAAACAGGAUUAGAUACCC